GGCUUGGUAGCGCUGGAAGCGCAUCUGCGUUUAAAUACAAUUUUCAAGUACGCACCGAGUACUGAGCAGACACCGCCCGUUCAACUCGGGCCUGAGCCA